UACAGAGGUCCCAAGCGUUGUUCGGAUUCACUGGGCGUAAAGGGUGCGUAGGCGGUCAAAAAAGUCUGGUGUGAAAUCUUCGAGCUUAACUCGGAAACUGCAUUGGAUACUAUUUGGCUUGAGGAAUGGAGGGGAGACUGGAAUGCUCGGUGUAGCAGUGAAAUGCGUAGAUAUCGAGCGGAACACCAGUGGCGAAGGCGAGUCUCUGGACAUUUCCUGACGCUGAGGCACGAAAGCCAGGGGAGCAAACGGG
rnacentral:rRNA from 1 species